rnacentral:lncRNA from 1 species
AACUUCUGCUUUCAUCGCCUCGUAUCGUUCAACAUCAUAAGAUCUUCGCUUCUGUUUUACUGGUUUGGUCUUAGGAUCAAUACUCAAGUGGUGACAGAUGAUAUCGGGAGAGAUGCCCGGCAUAUCUUUAUAUGACCAAGCGAAGACCUCGGCGUUCUCUUGCAAAAAGGAGAUCAGCGACAACCGAAAGGGUGGUGACAAAGUGGUGCCAAUCUUCACCAUGCGAUCUGGAUGGUCUUUGGAGAUAGAGACAUUCUCUAA